rnacentral:rRNA from 1 species
AGUGAACGCUGGCGGUAGGCCUAACACAUGCAAGUCGAACGGCAGCACAGGAGAGCUUGCUCUCUGGGUGGCGAGUGGCGGACGGGUGAGGAAUACAUCGGAAUCUACUCUGUCGUGGGGGAUAACGUAGGGAAACUUACGCUAAUACCGCAUACGACCUACGGGUGAAAGCAGGGGACCUUCGGGCCUUGCGCGAUUGAAUGAGCCGAUGUCGGAUUAGCUAGUUGGCGGGGUAAAGGCCCACCAAGGCGACGAUCCGUAGCUGUUCUGAGAGGAAGAUCAGCCACACUGGAACUGGGACACGGUCCAGACUCCUACGGGAGGCAGAAGUGGGGAAUAUUGGAAAAUGGGCGCAAGCCUGAUCCAGCCAUACCGCGUGGGUGAAGAGGGCCUUCGGGUUGUAAAGCCCUUUUGUUGGGAAAGAAAUCCAGCUGGCUAAUACCCGGUUGGGAUGACGGUACCCAAAGAAUAAGCACCGGCUAACUUCGUGCCAGCAGCCGCCGUAA